AGGACAGGGGCAGGAGGCCAGAGCCACACCGUCAGACCAGCCCGCGCCAGAGCCAAGAGAAUGGCAGGAGCUGGCGGCCGCCAGCUUGGGGACCGAUCCCUGCUGUGUCACGGAGGCGUUGGACCGCACGCGCGCCUGCUGUUGGCAUUAGCUCUCUCUUAAUGAGCAGCCACGUGGCCCAGGCUGCGUGCCCAGUGCUCUGCAGACCUCUCUCAACUGACAGUAACCCUCCUCGGAGAGACACUCUGUGAAAUGAAGCCACAGACUCAAGCAGAGAGUUGGAGAGGAAGAGCCCUGGCAACACCGCUGGAGUCCCAAGAGCCAGCCAUGCCUAACGUGUUAACUUCAGUUCUUCAAUCAGUCUUCGUUAUCACUGCUUGACUUUAACAAGAUGGGCUGGUCCUGUUUGCUUCACUUCCAGGUUAUCCUUGGACUGUAGUUGGCUCCAAGUGCCGGUUACAUGGGCUGAUAAUAACACCAGGUUACCCAAUGAGGAGCACAGGUGUGAUGAUAAACACAGUUUUAAGGAAAGACGAUGGAAUCUGGAUUCAGUACUGAGUGAAUUCAAUUAUGUACACUAUGCAAGUGAAAAGGAGACAUGUAAACUGGGAAAGAUGACCAUAAACAAAUAGUGUUAAGUGAAUGAAGACCACGUAUGGGAGGUCCUGCUGCAUGGCCCAAACUGAACUGAACUGGCCCUUGAAAAAUCUUUCAGAUUUAUGAUGUUUUGGUCAGAGGAGGAAAUUGUUGUCUGUAAUAAUUCAGUAAAAAUAAAGACUCCUACAAAGAUA